UACGUAGGUGACCAGCGUUGUCCGGAUUACUGGGCGUAAAGAGCGCGCAGGCGGUCGUUCAAGUCGAGUGUGAAAGCCCCGGCUCAACUGGGGAGGUCACUCGAUACUGAUCGACUUGAAGGCAGGAGAGGGAAGCGGAAUUCCGGUGUAGUGGUGGAAUGCGCAGAUAUCAGGAGGAACACCAACGGCGAAGGCAGCUCGCUGGGACGGUACUGACGCUGAGGCGCGAAAGCGUGGGGAGCGAACAGG
rnacentral:rRNA from 1 species